ensembl:lincRNA
AUUUAUCACAUCACUCGCAUACCCAGGCCGGCUGAUAUUUUAGGAGCGUGAAUCAGAGUGUCUGGCAUGGCUUCCUCUGCAGCCGAGCUCGUCUGCAAGCAUGAUGAAGUCGGGAGGGGGAAGAACUCCACUUAUCAGGGAGGAAAUUUGUGUCAGUGACAAGUCUGCCUGGCAACAGUGCUACGAAAGAGACACGCUAGGCCCCAACAUCGGGACCAAAAUCUUCACGCUGCUGGAGAGCGUCACGCUAAGCAGUUUUCCUCUUUGACACGCCCCCUAGACUGUCAGCGGCCACACACUGGAGACCGGCAGAGUAGGACUGUAGAAGGAGUCUGGGCAUCCGUGACCCUGCGGGACCCAUGCGUCAACCUUGGACAGGCCACCUCUUGUUGCUUCCUGCCAUGUCAGAAACCUUCUCCUGGAUCUUCAGUCGCAGUGUAUCUGAAGCCACACCCACCGUGUAUCCCCGGCCCCCACCCAUGCGGCAGCACGUCACCGUCCAAUAGAGGGCACAACCGUGGGUCCAGGAAUCUGAACAGGAAGACUUGAAGGU